rnacentral:tRNA from 1 species
UACCCGGUAGCUCAAUGGCAGAGCGCUAGACUGUUAAUCUGGUGGUUGAAGGUUCGAGUCCUUCUCGGGUAGC